rnacentral:lncRNA from 1 species
CCGUCUCUGUGCUGAACCAUUUUCUUCCUCGCCAGCACAACCAUACAACAAAUAGGUAAGUGUCUAGUCAUAUAUUUACAGAAUUCCCUGUGUAAAUGAUUUUUAUUUAUUUUUUAAUCUGCCGUAUUUUUCGGUGCCAAUUAGUAGUUCUGAUUCAUGGCCAUUCGUUGAGUUUUGAUCUGUAUGAGAAUCUUAAAAGUUGUACUUAGCUUCAGAUGAAAUGAAUCAAGGGUUCAUUUCCACACUGCCAAAUUAAUUCUUGGCUAUGUUAUUAUCAAGAAAAUUUAUAAUCUGUUUGGUAAAAUGGAUUGUACAAUUGUCGAAUUGGACUAUUCUAUGGAGAAAGAAGAAACUAAAAUUGCAAUCGUAUCUAUCAGGAAGUAGUAAGAAAGAAAAGAAAAGAAAGUCUCGUUGAUUGUAAUGUCCUCGAUCAUGUCUAAUAUUGAAUGCUUGAGGUAUUAAGAGUUCUUGCUGUUCUUCCUAUAUCUCCACUUGCUAUUAUUAUUAUUUAUUUUUUUUAAUUUUUUUUUUGCCGGGAGAAAUUAUAGCUGUUGCAGUUGUCACACCGAGUAAUAGGUCGAGAAUUUUGAGGGGAAAAAUGUAUCUACAAUUGAAUUGUUUUCUUGUGCAAUCUUACGAGGUUUCCUCUUUUGAGGGACGAAAUCUGGGCUGAGAAAAACCGGAAAAAAGUAAUGUUCGGAUGAUGAUAAGUUCAAUUUGCAGUUUCUUGGUUCUGAUAAAAUUGCAUUUGUAGAAGUCCAGUUAUUGAUGUUUUAAAGGUCUUUCUUGUAUCUGAUAAUAUACUCCAUGGAUAAUAUAGGUCGUUGACUCAUUAAAUUGGCUGGGAUUUUCUUCUUUAAUUUACUUUUAGUAACCUCAACUUUUUGUUAAUUUAGUAUAUUAUGAACUAGAUUGUGCUAAGGUAGAAUCAUUUCCAUGAUGUUCUCCUUUUCUUCUUCUUUUUAGCUAUGAUCAAAUUUUGGUGAAAUCAUAGGUGAACGCUGUUCACUUGAUGGUUGAAGUUUGACUGGGAGGAAUUAUAUAUAAUUUGACGUAUCGAUUGACAUCAAGAGACUGGUUGGAUGACUUGUUUUACUGUCUGUUUCAAACAAAAAGCUUCUUCCCCAGCAAAGCAAAACGUGGGUUUUAAAAAAGGUAGAUUUUGAGUG